UUUCCUACGGGACGCAGCAGUGAGGAAUAUUGGUCAAUGGGCGCAAGCCUGAACCAGCCAAGUCGCGUGAGGGAUGACGGUCCUAUGGAUUGUAAACCUCUUUUGUCGGGGAGCAAGGCCCGCCACGUGUGGCGGGAAGGAGAGUACCCGAAGAAAAAGCAUCGGCUAACUCCGUGCCAGCAGCCGCGGUAAUACGGAGGAUGCGAGCGUUAUCCGGAUUUAUUGGGUUUAAAGGGUGCGUAGGCGGGCUUUUAAGUCAGCGGUAAAAAUUCGGGGCUCAACCCCGUCCGGCCGUUGAAACUGGG
rnacentral:rRNA from 1 species